GGGUAUAGUUCAGUGGUAGAGCUCAUGCUUAGCAUGCUUGAGGUCCUGGGUUCUAUCCCUGGUAUACCUC
rnacentral:tRNA from 1 species